UCUGGUUGAUCCUGCCUGAACUGAUGUGUUUAUUUCAAAGAUUAAGCCAUGCAUGUAUAAGUUUAAUCGUUUAUCGAGAAACCGCGAACGGCUCAUUAGAAUGGCCAUUAUUUACUUGAUCUUGAUUGUCUAAAUGGAUAACUGUGGAAAAGCUAGAGCUAAUACAUGCACUAAAGCUUUGUCCUUACGGAAAAGCGCAUUUAUUAGAACAAAACCACGCGGCUUCGGCUGCUUCUUGUUGACUCAGAAUAACUUAGCUGACCGCAUGGCCUUGUGCCGGCGGCGUGUCUUUCAAGCGUCCACUUUAUCAACUUGACGGGAGCAUAAUCGACUCCCGUGGUGGUGACGGAUAACGGAGGAUCAGGGUUCGACUCCGGAGAAGGGGCCUGAGAAAUGGCCACUACGUCUAAGGAUGGCAGCAGGCGCGCAAAUUACCCACUCUCGGCUCCAGGAGGUAGUGACGAGAAAUAACGAGACUGUUCUCUUUGAGGCCGGUCAUCGGAAUGGGUACAAUUUAAACCCUUUAACGAGUAUCAAGCAGAGGGCAAGUCUGGUGCCAGCAGCCGCGGUAAUUCCAGCUCUGCAAAUACAUAGAAUUAUUGCUGCGGUUAGAAAGCUCAUAGUUGGAUUCGUAUCGAUACCUUGGAACCCUUCGGGUGUCUCUAGGUGUUAUCGAUUUAUCGUAAUGUUCGGUUUUGAGUCCUUAACAGGAUUCUUAACAGGCAUUGCAAGUUUACUUUGAACAAAUCAGAGUGCUUCAAACAGGCGUUUUCGCUUGAAUGAUCGUGCAUGGAAUAAUAGAAAAUGAUUUCGGUUCAGUUUUAUUGGUUUUACGGACUGAGAUAAUGGUUAACAGAGACAAACGGCAGGCUCCACACCACCAGGAGUGGAGCCUGCGGCUUAAUUUGACUCAACACGGGGAAACUCACCCGGCCCGGACACUGUGAGGAUUGACAGAUUGAUAGCUUUUUCAUGAUUCAGUGGAUGGUGGUGCAUGGCCGUUCUUAGUUCGUGGAGUGAUUUGUCUGGUUUAUUCCGAUAACGAGCGAGACUCUAACCUACUAAAUAGUUGGUACAUACUCUUAGUGUAUACAGCUUCUUAGAGGGAUUUGCGGCGUUCAGCCGAAAGAAAUUGAGCAAUAACAGGUCUGUGAUGCCCUUAGAUGUCCGGGGCUGCACGCGCGCUACACUGGCAAAAUCAACGUGCUUGUCCUACCCUGAAAGGGGCGGGUAAACCAUUGAAAAUUUGCCGUGAUUGGGAUCGGAAAUUGCAAUUAUUUUCCGUGAACGAGGAAUUCCAAGUAAGUGCGAGUCAUCAGCUCGCGUUGAUUACGUCCCUGCCCUUUGUACACACCGCCCGUCGCUGCCCGGGACUGAGCCAUUUCGAGAAAUUUGGGGACCGUUGAUUUAAUUUUUCUAAAUUACUUUGAUGGAAACCAAUUUAAUCGCAGUGGCUUGAACCGGGCAAAAGUCGUAACAAGGUAGCUGUAGGUGAAUAUGCUGCUG
rnacentral:rRNA from 1 species